UACGAACUGUGCGAACGUUAUUCGGAAUCACUGGGCUUAAAGGGUGCGUAGGCGGUUUUCUAAGUCACGUGUGAAAUCUUCUGGCUCAACCAGAAAACUGCGCGUGAUACUGGAGAACUUGAGUGAGGUAGGGGUGUGUGGAACUUCCGGUGGAGCGGUGAAAUGUGUAGAGAUCGGAAGGAACGCCAGCAGCGAAAGCGGCACACUGGGCCUUUUCUGACGCUGAGGCACGAAAGCUAGGGGAG
rnacentral:rRNA from 1 species